rnacentral:rRNA from 1 species
GAUGAACGCUAGCGGCAGGCUUAACACAUGCAAGUCGAGGGGCAGCGCGAUGUAGCAAUACAUUGGCGGCGACCGGCGCACGGGUGCGUAACACGUAUGGAACUUACCCUUUACUGGGAGAUAGCCCGGAGAAAUCCGGAUUAAUAUCCCAUAAUAAACGAAGUGGCAUCACUUUGUUUUGAAAGCUCCGGCGGUAAAGGAUGGCCAUGCGCACGAUUAGCUAGUAGGUGAGGUAACGGCUCACCUAGGCUACGAUCGUUAGGGGGCCUGAGAGGGUUAUCCCCCACACUGGUACUGAGACACGGACCAGACUCCUACGGGAGGCAGCAGUGAGGAAUAUUGCGCAAUGGAGGCAACUCUGACGCAGCCAUGCCGCGUGCAGGAAGAAGGCGCUACGCGUUGUAAACUGCUUUUAACCGGGAAGAAACCCUCCGACGUGUCGGAGGUUGACGGUACCGGAGGAAUAAGCACCGGCUAACUUCGUGCCAGCAGCCGCGGUAAAGUCAG